rnacentral:rRNA from 1 species
UACGGAGGAUGCGAGCGUUAUCCGGAUUUAUUGGGUUUAAAGGGUGCGUAGGCGGGUUAUCAAGUCAGCGGUAAAAUCGUGGAGCUCAACUCCAUCCAGCCGUUGAAACUGAUGAUCUUGAGUGGGCGAGAAGUAUGCGGAAUGCGUGGUGUAGCGGUGAAAUGCAUAGAUAUCACGCAGAACCCCGAUUGCGAAGGCAGCAUGCCGGCUUCCGACUGACGCUGAAGCACGAAAGCGUGGGGAUCGAACAGG